rnacentral:lncRNA from 1 species
GACAGAUAUUCAAAGAUGGAAUGAAAGAGGUUUGGUGACUGGAUAUAAGCAACGAAACAGGAAGAAUUGAAUUUGGGUCUGAUAUUUCCUGGAUGCAAGAUCAGGAGGAUGUUGGCACCAUGGCUUAGUGGGGAAACUGGGGACCGAUUCUGGAGGUAUACCAGCAUGGUGAGUUUGGUUUUAGAUGGGUUGUGUUUGACAUAGGGCUAGCAAUUCUAAGUGAAGAUGUCUAAAGAAAGAUAGAAGUGACUCAGCUCUGAAGUUCUGAAAUGAUCAGCCAUCAGCGUGGCAUGAGGAAGACCUAGGAACAGACAGACUGGGGAGAAGACACAGAGCCAAGCAGGACCUGGCCUGCAGCCCAAACCCUGUGGAAUCCCUACAUUCAAGGACCAGGUUGAAGUGAAGCCAUUGACAGGAACUGAGAUGCAGUAGUGUUCUGGAAGUCAAGUGAGGAGGAGGAUUGAAGAAGAGGGGGGUUGCCCAGUGGAAACACCAGACUGCAAAGCUUUGAGAAGUCUGUAUGAGAUGAACAACUGGAAAAGGUUCUUCGUGAAGAAUUUGUGUGGUGAAGAGCUGGAAUAGCGGCUUGAGGGAGAGAAGCCAGCACUAUUCACAAUAGCCAAGAUUUGGAAGUAACCCAAAUGUCCAUCAACAGACAAAUGGAUAAAGAAAAUGUGGUGCAUAUACACAAUGGAGUAGUAUUCAGCCAUAAAAAAGAAUGAGAUCUUGUCAUCUGCAACAACAUGGAUGGAACUGGAGGUCCUUAAGGUUAAGCAAAAUAAUCCAGGCACAGAAAGAAAACAUUGCAUGUUCUCAUCUAUUUGUGAGAACUAAAAAUUAAAACAAUUGAACUCAUGGAGAUAGAGAGUAGAAGGAUGGUUACCAGAGGCUGGGAAGGGUAGUGAGGGCGAGUGAGGGGGAAGUGGGGUGUUUAAUGUGUCCAAAAAAUGGUCAGAAACAAUGAAUAAAGUCUAAUAUAUGACAGCAAAAGAGUGUGACUAUAGUCAAUAAUAAUCGAAUGGUACAUUUAAAAAUAACUAAAAGUGUAUAUUUGGAUUGUUUGUAACAUAAAGGAUAAAUGCUUGAGGUGAUGGAUACCCCAUUUACCCUGAUGUGAUUGUUACACAUUGUAUGCCUGUAUCAAAGUAUCCAUAUACCCCAUGAAUAAAUGUAUAUACCUACUAUGCACCUACAAAAAUUAAAAUAAUAAAAAAAAGGAUUCCCCAUA